AUUGAACGCUGGCGGCAGGCCUAACACAUGCAAGUCGGGCAAGCGGCGGACGGGUGAGUAAUGUAUGGGGAUCUGCCUGAUGGCGGGGGAUAACUACUGGAAACGGUAGCUAAUACCGCAUACCCUCAGAUGACCCCAUAAGGGAUUAGCUAGUCGGUAAGGUAACGGCUUACCUAGGCGACGAUCCCUAUCUGGUCUGAGAGGAUGAUAAGCCAAACUGGGACUGCGACACGGCCCAGACGCCGACGGGAGGCAGAAGUGGGGAAUAUUGCACAACGGGCGCAAGCCGGAUGCAGCCAUGCCGCGUGUAUGAAGAAGGCCUUCGGGUUGUAAAGUACUUUCAGUCGGGAGGCGUGACCGACAGAAGAAGCACCGGCUAACUCCGUGCCAGCAGCCGCGGUAAUUC
rnacentral:rRNA from 1 species